UACGUAGGGUGCGAGCGUUUGUCCGGAAUUAUUGGGCGUAAAGAGCUUGUAGGCGGUUUGUCGCGUCUGCUGUGAAAUCUCAAGGCUCAACCUUGAGCUUGCAGUGGGUACGGGCAGACUAGAGUGUGGUAGGGGAGACUGGAAUUCCUGGUGUAGCGGUGGAAUGCGCAGAUAUCAGGGAGGAACACCGGUGGGCGAAGGCGGUUCUCUGG
rnacentral:rRNA from 1 species